CCCGUUUGCGGUUAUGCGUCGCUCUCGACUUCCUCUUUGAUUCUAUACCAUUUUUAAGAGAAAGUUCUAGCAUGGAUUGUAGUUAGCUUCCACACAAGUUUUGAACGAGAUAAGAGUGAACUGAGUACUUGGCAUUGGAUUGUUGCGGAAUUGAAUGCUUGGGCUGCUUGCGGAGCAUUUGGUGGAGGCUUAGUGCCGUUGAUUGAGGUUUCGGUGUGAUCGAAAAGAGAAUUCAAGUGUUAAAAAACUGCCGUCAAUAAGGUAUGGGUCUUGAUUUCGAGUAGGUAUUAUGUAAAAUUAUGUGAAAACCUAGGUUAAUUGCUUUUAAGAUAGUGUUAGAUGAUGAUUGUUGAUGAUGGUAUGGGGCUUAGUGUGUAUCAUUGUUUUGAAUAUUGUGAUAUGUUAUGAAUUUGAGAAUUAAAUAUUUUGGUAAGUUUAAUAGAAAUUGAUGGUGUUGUAAUGUAUGUAUGCAUGAUUGAUUUAAUGGAUAUUGUGUUGAAUUGGCUAUGAAAAGUUUUGAUGUGAAAUUUUGGAUCGGAGACUGUGAGAGGGUGAGGUAUCUCCUACUUAGUAAAUUAUGGUAAAUGGUGACGUCGUGUUGUGAAUUGUUGAUGAAUUAAUAAGAAUUGGUUGGAUAUUUAAUUGUUA